UUAUUAGCACGACGCCUUAAMCAACUGGGCCAAGGGACC
rnacentral:tRNA from 1 species